rnacentral:lncRNA from 1 species
AUAAUAAUAAUUAUCAUUUUUAUUAUUUAUGUUUUAUAUUUAUUCUAUUAAAACCAUAUGAUAUAAAAUUGUUAAUGUUUACCUUUAUAAAAAUAUAUAAAAUUUACUAAUUCACUAAAAUUCUUUGACAAUCUCUAUCACAAUCUAUUAAACAAGGUGCUGGUGAACUUUGUGGUUUAGUAAAAUUUUGAACACAUUCAAAUAACUUUUUAUGACACAUUUUAUUUCUUCUUGUAAUUUGUCUUUUAGCCUUUGCACAAUCAUCUAACAAAUAAUUACACCCUGACACAUAUGUUUCCAAUUCAGAGAUAUUAAGCUGUUGCUCACGAAACUCUAUCAUAAAAUUAAUAUAUUUUCUAUUCACAUUCGUAAUUUCUUUAGUUUUAUUUUGUAUGGUUUCUUCUAAUUUUAAAAUUGAUGUUCCCAGAUGAGCAUAUAUUUUGCGUACUUCUUCUUGAUGAGCGGUUUGGAUUGCUCUUCUGUCAAAUGUGUUUCGGUCUGUUAAAUUAUUAAGGAGAGAUUGGUAAUAUUUUUCUUUCAUUUCCAGUUCAUAAACUUUAUCUAAGUAAAGUUUGGUGCAGUUAUUUACCAAAUAAAAGUUUUUUAUGUAAUCUACUGCUGUUGAUUGUUUGGGCGAAAUAACUUCGACGUUAAUUUCAUUUGUUAUUUUAUUAAGUUUUGUUAAUUGAAAACUUUCAGAUUGCACUAAUAUACAUAAACUAACUGUAACUAGCAACUUGAAAAAAACCGCCAUGAUUACACCAUAAAAAUAAAUUAUACUAACUUAAAUAAUGAUUAGCAUAUAUUUAUAGUAAAUAAUUUGUUGAAUUAGCAUUUUAAUUAUCAUUAAAAAUAUGUUUUAUCACACCAGCGAUUGUUUUUAUUAUUUAAAAAGUUAAUUACUUCUAUUGAGAAGAAUGUUCAUUUUUUUAUUUUAGUUUUAUUUAAUAUUUUAUUUUUCGUCUUAUUCUUAUUUUUGAGGGUAAUAUUAAUUUUAGUGUAUAGAGUGAUAUUAUUGAGGUUUCUAUCUUUAAUUAAAAAAAUGAAUUUAAUCCAAUAAAAAUUUUAAAAAGAGCCGAUAUUAAAAAGUUUAAAUACUUGGGGGAUCUGCUUAAUUAAAUAGCCUUUGUGUUAUGCAAAAAUAUUUCUAUAACAAGGAUAUUCUAAUGGUGGCUAGGAGAAAUGUUUCAAUACCUUAAAUUUUUCCCUUAAACCGAGGGUGUUCCUAUGCCAAUAAUGGUAAUAAGCGGGAUGUACUACAUAACACAUUUUUUUAAUUAAAAAAAUAAUCUACUUUUAAUUUUAUAUUGUUUACAGAAAAACAUGUGUUCCAUCCCAACCAUAUUUACAAACGAGGAUGAGUAUUUAGCAUAUUUAUUAUGCUUGACGAAAGUCCCUCCACCUAACCGUUAGUAUAAUUAAAAAAUAUAAUAAUAUAUGCUUUAUUUAACUAAUUUUUAGGUAGAGAAUUUCAUGUAACAUUGGUAAUUCGGGGUAAUGUGGAGGUGUGUCCGAGUUAUACCACCCUCGUGAAUAUGGUAUGGAACAAUAAAAACAUCACAUGUUUUUAUAAAGUGGUGGAUGAUAAUCGACUAUCCAUCAUAAUAAGGUAAUUUUUUUGUUUAAUAUAUAAUGUUUAAUUUAAAUUUAUUUUAUUUUUUUUUUCAGGCUAUAUCCCAUAUAAAAGGAGUAUUUUCUCUAUAUAUGUUCUUUUUCACUAUAGCAAUUUAUUAUUAUUUAUAUUUAUUAUUAUUUUAUUUUUAUUUUCUACUAAUACUAAACAAAUAAAAUUAUCAGAAUUCAUUCGUUUUUCUUUCUUAGUGUCAUUUAUAGUUACACAAAAAGAUGUUUUAUCGUUAAUAAAAAUUUAUUGAUAUAAUCUGCGAUUAGUUAGCUUAUUUAGGAUAUACAGUAUUUCUACUUUUUGGAGUCAAUUCGGAUUUAUCAGAGUUAAAAAAUGUAUAUAAUAUAUACAACAGUUAUAAAAAUGUAAAUAACAAGUUUAUUCUAGCAUCAGUUUCAAACGGUUUGAAACUGAUGCUAGAAUAUAUAAACUUAUUAUAUCAUGCGUAUACUACCAUACAAUACACUCGUAUAAAAAUAAGAAGAAAAUUCUAUACUAAUAUUCUAUACUAAUUCUAUUCUAAUAUUAUAAAAAUCAAGACCAUAGAGGUAUAUAUUGACAUAGAAAGAGUAUCAUUCAAAGCAAAGUGGCGACACCAUCUUUCUUCUUUGGAUUAGUGCUGUUUCACUCUUACGCAUAUUAAGCUGAGACAGUUGUCCUCCUCUUCCGUGUAUAUACUCACACCUUAAUGUCAUCUUAGUUUCUCGGUACGAUGUGUUAGAAAAAGAUAGCGCAAACCAGUCGAAGAGACCGGAAGAGAUCUUGUCGUCAGGACGCGUAUAGUGAGGGCUCUCUCUAUGCUAAUAUUAACUCUAUAAUCAAGACCUUAUUAUGAAACGCUUAUUUACAAAUGAUUAAAAAAGAAGAAAAUUCUAGGCAACUUUUAUACAUGAUAAGAUACUUCUACGUUAUAAAAUUCCAACACCCCCUACACACAAAAUAGAAAAAACCAAUGUUAGCACCAUCUAGUUUUCUAUUCUAUCAUUACUUAAAAUCUAACCAAAUUAUUAUGUUUAUGAGUUUUAUGAUGCCCUUAUAUUUUUCAUGUUGUAAGGUUUUAGAGCAUAAAGGGUGUAUUUAUCAAGUUUUGGGAAAAACUUUGUUUAAAGUUCUAGACCAAAUUAAAAAAUUUAGGUAAGUACUACUUAGCCUGUUUUCAAUUGCAUAAUAUCCUGUUCCUGUAAGUUUGCAUAGGAAGUAUGAAGUCACCAUGUUUUCUAUGUGUUUAGAGAUCCUUUAUUUGUAUUUAACCUAAUUUCCUAGAAAAUUGUAAUUUACCAUUACGGUUGACAAGACUAAUGUUAUUUAUUAAUUUUUAAUAGAAUUUACAGUGUUAUGACUGAUUUUUUGUAAACUAACACUUUCAGUUUUUGUUUCUUGUAUGUAUACAUUUAUUAGUUGAUGGUAAUUUAUUUUUAGGUAUAACAUGCUAGAAGUAAAUGCAGGAAAAUAAAAUGUAGGGAAAACUGGAAAAAUUUUAUCUUUACAGACAAUUUGCAACUUGUUCUACAUUCUUCCAAAUCUAAUGGAUUAAGUUGAUCAGGACAAGUCAUAAAAUUUGAUUUAUGGUCACGUUAUUAAGCAGAUCAAAGAUGGUCUACUGUUUUUCCUUAUGUGAGGAAAACCUCAUAUGAUAGAUGGUCUUAACAGCAUGUUGAAUCCAGAUGGAUAAUUGCAGCAUUAGAUAGAAACCAACCUUGGACAAUGGAGCAGUGUGAUGGAUAUUUGGGUCAUCCUUUGAGAACAAAUUCAAUAUAAAUUAUGUGGGUCAAUUCGAAAAGUGUUUUUGUGGUUCAAAAUAAAAAUACCAAGAUAUUUUGUAUUAUUUAUUUAUUAAAAAAUUAAAACGGCUCUAAUAAUUUUUAA